rnacentral:rRNA from 1 species
AGCAGCCUACGGGAGGCAGCAGUGAGGAAUAUUGGACAAUGGAGGCAACUCUGAUCCAGCCAUGCCGCGUGCAGGAAGACUGCCCUAUGGGUACUAAACUGCUAUUAUAGAGGAACAAACCCCCCUUCGUAAAGGGAAUUGACGGUACUCUACAAAUAAGGAUCGGCUAACUCCGUGCCAGCAGCCCGCGGUAAUACGGAGGAUCCAAGCGUUAUCCGGAAUCAUUGGGUUUAAAGGGUCCGUAGGCGAACUAAGUAAGUCAGUGGUGAAAGUCUGCAACUCAACUGAAGAAUUGCCAUUGAUACUGUUAGUCUUGAGUCAUUAUGAAGUGGGUAAAAUGAGUGGUGUAGCGGAGAAAUGCCAUAGAUAUCACUCAGAAUACCGAUUGCGAAGGCAGAUCACUAAUAAUGUACUGACGCUGAUGGACGAAAGCGUAGGUAGCGAACAGGA